rnacentral:misc_RNA from 1 species
UUUUUUUUUUUUUUUUUUAAUCAGUAUUGUACAUAUUAUGGUCUUAGAUAGAUUUCACAUGGCAGUAGCGUUGAACACUUGUAUGCCUGGGCUGCUAAUGAGAGUAGAAUAAUGGUUGCCUGCAUUUCUUGCAUGGUGUCUGCCAUAUUGGUCUAUCGCAUUUUCUAGAUCUAUAAGCAGUGCAGAUUAGGAGUACUAAAUGGCGAAAAAGGACCUAUAUACUCGAUUCCAACUGGGUUUGGUCAAGUCUUAGUUGUUCUUCUUGUAUUAUGCAAUAAACAAUGACAUACAGAAAACAGGUCAAGGUGAUACAAAAUUAGAGGAUUUAAUAGACGUUGUAAGGGAUGGUUUUUUUGAUAAAUUGUUUUUCAUACUAACAAAU